GGAUGAGCCGAACCAGCUUCUUCAGUUCUUCAUUUUCCCGCACCAGCCUCUCAAUCUGAUGCCGAAGCCCCUCAUAAUUUGCUCAGCUCUCUGCGCCUCCAGGCCUGUGUGUUGCCUUACCUCAGCCUGAAGUGUCCUGACAAGAUGAGUCCUAUACCACAUCACUUGCCUCGUGGCCGUGCAGUUGGCCCCUCGGUGCCUUCCAAAGGAUGGUCGCCAGCGAGCGUAGGUAUUGUACCUUCCUAGAGUACCUCAGACUACAACGAGGGGUGCAACUUGGCACAGACAUUUGUUGAUCAGAUACUUGUUGGUGAAUAUUCAUUAUUCUGCCUUCCUGGGCUGGGUGCCCUUUCCUUUCGACAUUGGCAUGCCUGGACUUCAUCUGUUAGCUAUCUCCUGAGGAAGCUCUGUCUUGGGUGCCAGGAAAUUGGCCCAUAAUUUCUUCUAGUCACAAGUGCUCUAUUCCUUCCCUAGCUACUGGCUGACAGUCUCCUUUAGCCAAGACCAGGCUCCCACAGCUCAGGAGUUUCCAUUUCUGACACCGACCCUUUACUCCCAUCUGUAGUGACUCUUCCUUUGCACCUGAUCUCUUCUCCUCGGGUCCUUGAAUCUUCCGGAGUUCCAUUCUCUCAAGGAUCUAAAAUAAGACAUGGUGGUGAUCCAGCAGCACCAUCUGUCACUCUACGAUCGCCAGGGUUGAGUCAACUUGGCUGAUCUGGCCGGCUAAGCAAGUACCCAUUCCAUCCUCCUGAAGAAGUCCAUUUGGUAGAAGGCAACCUUCUCCCAGAGGAGGAGCGGCGUUCAACCGAAGAUGCACAAGUCGCUGUGUUCCUCCGCUACGACUUCCGAACAAGAACUGGAGCGAGUCCUCCUCACCUGGCUUCAAGAGAUGAGGACUGAGUCCUCCUGACAUGCCCUUCUUCUAGAGCUAUCUAGAAAGAGUGCCAUGGGCCUGAUCUUGGGAGUCAAUGGAACCUAAUCCUCAAGACCUCCACUGGCUCUGUGGUCAACUUCUCUCAAAGCUCUCCAUGGGUCAGGGAGAGGAAGGUAAAGUCCAGUUUUUGACCAGAUUCCAGUGGGCAGACUCUGGUAGAGAGCGGAGCUGAGGAAGAGGAGAUCAGUCAGGGCUGGGGUCAGUCUAAGUUGGGUGUUCUAUCUGGACCUCACAAUGCUCCAUGAUGUAAUCCUAAGUUCAUCUGGCACUCCAUGAUGUAAUCCUAAGUCACUCUGGCCUCAAGGACAAGAGUACCUGAGGACCAGGCACAAGUUCUUUUCACUAUUCCACCUAAUUUUAUAAAACAUGUCUGCUGAAUUUCCCUUCAGCAUGUGACAAUAAGCGUA
rnacentral:sRNA from 1 species